UACAGAGGGGGCAAGCGUUGUUCGGAAUUACUGGGCGUAAAGGGCGCGUAGGCGGCCUGUUAAGUCGAACGUGAAAUCCCCGGGCUCAACCCGGGAACUGCGUCCGAUACUGGCAGGCUUGAAUUCGGGAGAGGGAUGCGGAAUUCCUGGUGUAGCGGUGAAAUGCGCAGAUAUCAGGAAGAACACCCGUGGCGAAGGCGGGUCUCUGGACAGUUCCGUGACGCUGAGGCACGAAGGCCAGGGGGAGCAAAAACGGG
rnacentral:rRNA from 1 species